UUUGGGAUAGCUCAGUUUUGGUAGAGCGUGAGAUCUCAGGGUUGUGGGUUUGAGCUCCACAUGGGCAAAA